rnacentral:rRNA from 1 species
GAUGAACGCUAGCGGCAGGCCUAAUACAUGCAAGUCGAACGGUGUCUUCGGACAUAGUGGCGCACGGGUGCGUAACACGUAUGCAACCUACCUUACAUUGGGGGAUAGCCUUUCGAAAGGGAGAUUAAUACCGCAUAAGACAGUAGCUGGGCAUCCAGCAGCUGUUAAAGAUUUAUCGAUGUAAGCUGGGCAUGCGUCCAGUUAGCUAGUUGGUGAGGGAACGGCUCACCAAGGCAAUGAUUGGUAGGGGAACUGAGAGGUCAAUCCCCCACACUGGCCCUGAGAUACGGCCCGUACACAUACGGGAGGCAGCAGUAGGGAAUAUUGGGCAAUGGACGCAAGUCUGACCCAGCCAUGCCGCGUGCAGGAUGAAGGCGUUAUGCGUUGUAAACUGCUUUUAUACAGGAAGAAACGACUCUUGCGAGAGGCAUUGACGGUACUGUAUGAAUAAGCACCGGCUAACUCCGUGCCAGCAGCCGCCGUAACAC